UCCUACGGGAGGCAGCAGUGGGGAAUAUUGCACAAUGGGCGCAAGCCUGAUGCAGCCAUGCCGCGUGUGUGAAGAAGGCCUUCGGGUUGUAAAGCACUUUCAGUCAGGAGGAAAGGUUAGUAGUUAAUACCUGCUAGCUGUGACGUUACUGACAGAAGAAGCACCGGCUAACUCCGUGCCGGCAGCCGCGGUAAU
rnacentral:rRNA from 1 species